CGUGCAUAAUGGUCAUUCUAAAGGAUCACUGUCACUCUGGUGAGAAAUGAUUGUCUUGACAGGAGUCAGCAGUCAGCGUCACACCACGCUUGCAAUUGUUAAGUAAACUAAACUAGAUCAACAUACAAGUCUGUAAAAUGUUGAUCAUUCUGAUAGAAUUAGAGAAAGGUUUUCUUGUUCCUACAAUGGGCUUUCCUUGACAAUCUUAAUUAGGGAGUGUGACUAACAAGCUGUGUGUAUUUAGCGCCUGGCUGCUAAGGCCGUGUGACUUUCACGCUGUAUUUGCGGCCAACAUUGAAGUCUCCCCACCACCCUGUGGAAGUCCAUCCUAAUGUCACAGUGAGACCAAGACCACCAGCUGCUUCCGCAUAGAUCACAAAUGAGGAUGAGGAGGCAUGGUGAAGCCUCAGGUGCAUCCAGUGUGUGAAGGACUGAGCUGGGGAAGCAUUCUAGAUAAUGAACUGCUUGGGGUUGGUGACGAGGAGGCGGAGCCAGGAGAGGCACCUGUAAAUAAUUAAUUCUCUGGUUUUCCUAAGCCUGUGUUUUGUUCUUUUUCAUUGUUUUUUUUAGUUCAUGUUCGCUCAUAUUCAGGCCACAUGCCUUGUAUCCUGCUCCUCAGAACUAUUGGUGCUACCAAGGUAUUUCUUGUAUUGUUUUUUUCUUGCAGCAUUAUUGGUUUUGUCUCCUGGUGCUUUUUUCCGCUGCCCCCUCUUUUGUUGUACUCAGUAGAGCUUAUAUUUUCCUUUUUAGGUGAGAAUUUUUGUCCUUUGGUAACCAUUUUUUCCAAGCUGUGUGCUUUGCCCUCAGUUGCGGUUUUUGCCAUAUCUUCAUGAUUAAUGAAAGACUGUUUGCCGGUAUCUGCUUUCACUGAACAUAACACAACCAUUUACGCUCGCAUUCAUACUGUACCUAUGGACAAUUUGGAGUCGUCAGUUAACCCUAACAUUCAUGGUUUUCGAAUAUGGGAGUAAGCCAGAGUACAGACUGAAAAAAUGUUUUGUGUUACUGCCCGGGGUUACGAUUGUGAAUCAAUAAAUGAAUGAAAAAUAUAAUUUUGGUUUGUAAAAAAGACUCGAGCCACUAGUAAAUAUAUAUAUAUAUAUAUAUAUAUAUAUAUAUAAUAAGAAAA